AUGCUCGCUUCGGCAGCAUUUACACUAAAAUUGGAAUGCUACAGAGAAGAUUAGCAUGGCCCCUGAGCAAGGAUGACACGCAAAUUCAUGAAGCUUCCAUAUUUUUU